AAUUACACAAUGUCUACGGUGAGAAAUGUUGAUGUAAACACAAAGCUAACACUCCGAGAUACUCGCAAGAGACGUGAGGGAGGAACUGAAGACCUGUGCGAUGGGAGUUUUACCGUGUUUAUCAACGUCUUGGUGAGGUUUUUGAGAUCCUAUGGAAAAUUACAUAUGGAUUCUACGUGACGAGAGAGAUGGCGAGCCACCCAUGAACCUGAUCUCUGCCUUGACCCAAGGAGUUGGAUCAAGAUCACCUUUUAUCCGCAGGAGCCCAUCCAUUCUUCCAUCUCCAUCAGUUGAGCUUCACACUCCAGUGUGGUAGUAGUAUCAAGAGGACCUUUUACACUUGACUUCUGACUUAAAAAGUGCAUUUGUCACAAUAAAGGAUUAAAAUUAAACUCAACAGUUUAUAACAGAAGGAACAAAACUGAACUUGAACUUGAAUAAGACAACCAGUGGAACUCUGUUAUUUUUUGUCAGGGACACAUAUUAUUUUCUGGUAAUACUGUUACCUUGUGAAGCAUUGAACUAACUAUGUUUAAAGGGUUAACAUCUGAGUGCCAAUCUACAGACUAAGGAGGGGAGAAGAGUGCAAACUUCAUAAUCCAGCCCGGUUCCCCAGUGUUUGUCUGUACUUCCAAGGAAAGUAGGCUCUAUUUCAACACUAAUUACAGGGAAAGUAGGUUCUACUUACACACUAAGGAGGGGAGAACAGUGCAAACUUCAUAAUCCAGCCCGGUUCCCCAGCGUUAGUCUGUACUUCCAGGGAAAGUAGGCUCUACUUACACACUAAUUACAUUACUGUACUGUACUGUAGUAUGGAUGAGAGAAUAGCACCUGUCAUGUGAUUUCUUUGUAAUUAAAAAAUAAAAACAUUUUAUAACUCUC